UGUCAAAAAGCAGCAAACCCAAAAGAUAUAUUUCUUUUUCCUGCCACUCACAGUAGGGGCUGCUCUGUUCCUACCCACCUUGUUCCCUUUGAGGAAAGCCCAAAGGUAAAAGAGGCUAUGAUAGUAUCAUCAUCAUCCCAGAAAGGGGGUCUCUAAAAGAGAACUGACACCUACAGGGAUCAGAAGGGCAAACCACUUUGGGGGAGCUUCACGGGAAAUGGGGAAGUUGUGGGGACACUCAUGUGGUUAGUGGCCACGUCUGUCAUCCUUCAGGCCUGUGGGCCAGGUUUGGCUGGCUGCUGCUACUGGAGAGCUCCUUCUCCUGGGCCUGCCCUUGGACCAUCCAAGCCUUCCCAGCUCCAACAGUAGCCCACAGCACAUCUACAGCCGUACCACUCCUCCCCUCCACAUUCUCCCAAUGAGCCCGUGCUCCACCUGGCGAGGCCCUCAUUCUUUGGCCCUGUCAGUUUCAGAUCCUCUAAGGUAGCUCCAGUUUUGGAUUAGGUCGGGAGGCCAAUUCUCAGAAACAAAGGAGCCACCCCUUCCCCCACCCCCAUCCGACAGCUUCCUUCCAGUUAAAACACGCAGCCUGACCCAUUCUGUGAAAUAAGACAGGGGUAUUUUAAGCAGGCUCUGUUUCAUCAUCUUGAAUCUCGGUGGCAGCCGCAGGAGCCUCUAGGAGCCAGCAAGUUAAAAAAAAAAAUGAGUCUCAAUGUUCCAGGAGAAGAAGUCCGGGAGGUCGAAGUAGCUGUCACAAGGCUGUCCUGGGGAGGAGGGCUCUCUCCUGCCAGAGCCAGGAAUUCAGACCUGAGCCUCCGAGUCUGAAUUCCAGAGGAGGGUGAGGGGUGACUUCCCUCUCUGAAGUGACUCACCACUAAGUUCCCUUAGCUUGGAUCCUGUCAGGAAACAAGUCAUCCAAGUUCGUGGCAGGACAAAAGUCAAGUCGCAGCAAUAUUCUGUUAUGUUAUUGGACCACAGCUGGUUUCACCAUUCCUCAAUAGAUGGGCAUCUGUUUUGUUUCCAGUUCUUUGCAACUACAAAAAGUGCUACUAAUACAGAUAACCUGAGAAGUCAUCUUAAGACGGAUCCCUCUAGCCUGGGAGGAACUACAUGAACUUGAGAGGUUAGGAGUUCCUGGGCUCCUUACUUGGUGCUGGCUGCAAUGUGGAACCACCUUGCCCUAAACAACUACAAGAGCAAUUCUUGGAGAAGAAGAAGGCCUCACUGACACAUGGCUGGAUGACCCUACACAAAUCACUGAAUUUCUUGGCACUCUAGGCAACUUUAUAAAUAAUAAUAAUCACCUGAAAGCCAAGCAGGUUUCAGUAUCUGUCAUGUGGCUAGACAAGAGAGACUAAAUUAUAUGCAAAUGAAAACCCACAUGUAAAGCAGAAUUGUAAUAUGCAAACUCUCCUGGAUGUCAACUCGUGGACCCCUGGACACAAGAUGUCUCCCACCUAUACACCAAGAUCAUUUAGGAUUCCUUGGAAGAUGUAACAACAGAAAGAAUGUUGUUCAAUGACUCUUUGGGGACAAAACAGGGAGAUGAAGGCUCACCAAAGAGCCACUAGCUUUUAUGUGAGAUACCAAGGUCGUCCAUUGCAUCCCAAUCCAUCACCAGUCACCUUUAGGACUCCGGUGACUCUGGAAGAAAGAGUGAGGCUGACGACUUUGCACAACUCUGCCUCACUUAAAUUCAA